GAGUUUGAUCCUGGCUCAGGACGAACGCUGGCGGCGUGCCUAAUACAUGCAAGUCGAGCGGAUCUUCAUUAGCUUGCUUUUGAAGAUCAGCGGCGGACGGGUGAGUAACACGUGGGCAACCUGCCUGUAAGACUGGGAUAACUUCGGGAAACCGGAGCUAAUACCGGAUGAUCCUUUUCCUCUCAUGAGGAAAAGCUGAAAGACGGUUUCGGCUGUCACUUACAGAUGGGCCCGCGGCGCAUUAGCUAGUUGGUGAGGUAACGGCUCACCAAGGCGACGACGCGUAGCCGACCUGAGAGGGUGAUCGGCCACACUGGGACUGAGACACGGCCCAGACUCCUACGGGAGGCAGCAGUAGGGAAUCUUCCGCAAUGGACGAAAGUCUGACGGAGCAACGCCGCGUGAGCGAUGAAGG
rnacentral:rRNA from 1 species